rnacentral:rRNA from 1 species
UACGAAGGGUGCAAGCGUUACUCGGAAUUACUGGGCGUAAAGGGUGCGUAGGUGGCUGUUUAAGUCUGUUGUGAAAGCCCCGGGCUCAACCUGGGAAUGGCAAUGGAUACUGGACAGCUAGAGUGCGGUAGAGGGUAGUGGAAUUCCCGGUGUAGCAGUGAAAUGCGUAGAGAUCGGGAGGAACACCAGUGGCGAAGGCGGCUACCUGGACCAGCACUGACACUGAAGCACGAAAGCGUGGGGAGCAAACAGG